CCCGCGGCCCCCAGCCCCCGCCACCCCGGCGCCGGCCCCUCUCACCCUUUCAUUCUCUGCCCGGGGCCUGACGCGGGCCGGCGAAGCCCCGGCCUCACAUCAGAGUGAGAGGCGCUGGCAAUGGACUAGGAAGCUCGGCUGCCGCUGCUACUGCUCCCCCCUGGGCUCCGGCGAGAGCCUUUCCCUGUCAAGCAAGAGGGGUGAAGAUCAUAUUUUUAUUUUGGAAACUAAAAAGUGCUCCCAGGGUCGGUGAUUAUUAAGGGGAAAUCCCUGAAUAUACUCUCCAGCCAAGAAGGCAGGGCUGCCGGGGCUGCACAAGAAGAGGCAGCCUCCUACAGCACCACUACAGGCACUGCGAGGACAUAACACCAGAGAGCCGCUCCUCUGCCCUCCGAAACGACAACUUUCCUACCAUCUUGGAGGCAGAGGAAAGGGGGGCCGGGGGGAAAAGUGCACCCGCUCCCGAUAAAGUACAAAUUUCUACUUCUCGUCUCUGGAAAAAAGUCCACACCGGCCGUCUACACCGGCGCCUGGGCGAAAAAGCAGGGAAGAAACUGGGGGUGCUUGAGAAACGUUUUCAUUUGCACCACGGGGAAAAAUGUUUCUGCAUCUUCUGAUGGAAAGAAAUCUUUACAAGACACAGGUUUUCCGACCCAAGUUCUGUGUCCGGUGGUCCGUUUAUAAAUUUGUACUUCAGGAGACUUCAUAGCCACUUGAUCUCCAUUUGGCUACUUAUAUGUUUUUACGUGCAUAUUUACAGGUUGCCUUAUAUAUAAAAAUGUGUAUUCUGUAUUCCCCUCAAAACUGAGAUUGCUAAAGGACAAUUGUAAAGGGAUGUCUUUUGUCUCCUUUUCUCAAAGCAAUGUAAAUAAAUCCUAUUGACUGUCCAGAAAGGCAUGAUACAGCUGUUUAUUUUCCACAGUGCAAAUAAAGGCAGAGAUCAUGGAGAGGUUAAAUACAACUUAAGUGUAACUGACCAGAUCUCUGGAAAUAAUUCUAAUUCUGUUAUGGUCUCCCCAGGAAGAAAGGUUACUGUAAAACUGGAAAUAGAUUUGAAAGACAGCUUUAGAUUUUCUUUAAAACUGCUUAUUAAGAAACUUUGCUUAUUAUACCCAGAUAUUUGAUUUUCUAAUUAGAUUCUUUAGAUCUUUGUUGCCUUGCACGCGUCGCUGCCCACUUUCUGUGUCACAGAAUGGAAAAAUGUGUGUUUUUGUUAGAGUUGCUAUGCUGUUCGUAACUUCCAAUGUGCUGCCAGCCUCUAUCAAUUACUUUUAUUAUAUCGCAGUGGAUGUCACGGAUCUACUUUUUUUAAUGAGCAAAGCAUACUAGGUAAGUGGGACCAAAGUUACACAAAGCUGAGAUAGUAGAGGUGAGAGAAGGGUGCCGCCCCCUUGCAGCAAUUCCCACAGAACUCUGAAUGGAGGAAAAGAAAUCACAGAGAUAUUUUUCUGUUUUUGCGAAGAAAGAGGCGAAUACCAGAAAAUGACCAGCGGAUCUUUUUGUAUGUUCUACAGGGAAUGAUUAAUUCGAAUCUUGGACUAAAAAGUUCGUUGUUGUUUUGGUUUUUUUUUUUUUUAACAUAUGUUGACUAAUUUAGUGGGAGUGGAUUUGUAAUAUUAGUGCCUUGAAUCAGCAGAAUAUUUAUUUCGUUUACAAUGUAUUGCAAAGCACUUAGAAAUAACUGAUGACUCCACUUAAAAAUCUUCCUUUUUUUGAGCUUCCAAAUUUAGAAAUUCCCAUAAUGUUAAAGUGAGUUCAGAUAAUGCAUGUAUCAGUACUUAUUAUUUUCAUGUUGACCCCCAUCUUUAUCAUCGAAAUUUGAAUACAGUACCUGAGUAGUCUUGA